rnacentral:sRNA from 1 species
CGAGCGCAGCGAGAAAGCGUUGCCGCAGGCAACGACCCGAAGGGCGAAGCGCGCAGCGCUGAGUCAUCCUUUCCCCACCACCA